rnacentral:lncRNA from 1 species
UGGGGCCUAACCCUAAAUUAGCUAGGAUAUGCCUUAAUUUAGAUAUAGUUUGCUCCAACACUACUAGGGAAAACCUCUCUUCAGACAACAUGCCCCUGUCGCAAAUGCUAACAAGGUUGCGACGAUGAAUUACCCCGAUGCUGUUGUUUUAACUUUAAGAUAGCAUAAGUCAUGUUUCAUAAGUCCCAUUUCAGAAGACCAUUCUUUUGAGACGGCCAAAAUUAUCCGUCACAAAGUUGUGUUACAGAAGAGGUUUUCCUUAGUACCGUAAUGCAUAUCAUGUCAAUUAUCCUUUUGUGAGUUUGAUGUUGUAUAUAGUGUCCAUACUAAAAACUUCUUUCUUGGAAUCUCCAUCACUGAAGAACUUCUUCCAUAACAGACACGCCCCAACCCCGAUAUCGCCAAAUAUCAGGGUAGGCACGUGUUGGCCGACACCCGAGGGUGACGAAGCCAUUUUUAAACUUGCAUAUUAUGUAAUUAGGAAGAGAUACACUAAUACAAAAAAAUGUUCAGAGCAUACAACUACUCAAGAAUAAGGUAAAAUAUUUAUUAUAACAAGGUAUGAAUUGAAGACUGGGUCCAACACAGAGGAGACUCGAAGAUGCCUAAGUGGAAGUGUCCUGACGCCGGGAUCGUGUGCCUCGAUCCUAACUCCUAAGGGGGUGCAAAACCAAAAAGGUGAGUGGACCAAAGUUUAUAAUAAUAAUACUAAUAUAAGAAAACCAUUUUCUUUAUGAACAUACUAACCCCUUGUUUUGAAAACACAUAUAAUACUACAUAAUAGGUUUUCUGAAAACUCUAGCAU